CUAGUAAUCGCGAAUCAGAAUGUCGCGGUGAAUACGUUCCCGGGUCUUGUACACACCGCCCGUCACACCAUGAGAGUUGGCAACACCCGAAACCUGUGGGCUAACCGAAAGGAGGCAGCAGUCUAAGGUGGGGUCAGUGAUUGGGGUGAAGUCGUAACAAGGUAGC
rnacentral:rRNA from 1 species